CCGCAAAAUACGAAUUUAUCUAGCCACAUAUUUAGAAAAAUGGCGUGUUCCCUUUCCCCAAUAGAUCCUGUUUUUCGGUACUUCUGAAUGUACCCAGACCAACCGCCGAUGCUGCGAGUUUCCACCUUAGAACUAGGCUUAUUAUCAAACAGAUGACUAUUAUUGGCAGUUGAUACAUCUAAGCCAGUGAGCAUAAGCACAUCGGCAAGAGUAGGAGAAGCAGGACCAUGGCCGAAUACAAAAGCAUUAAGGGUGUCUGACCAAAAGUAUGAAGCGGCUAUCAGCAGCGACUCGUUCCUCUCCAUAUCGGCAAUGGAUAGCCUAAUGCACUGGUCCAAUUUCCGCUCACCCCAUUGGACUUCAUUUGAGUUGCCGAUUCUCAGGAACCAAUCUUUCCAUCCCUUGGUAGGAUUGGGCCAGGAACGGAAAGCGUCUUUCCACAGAUCUAAGGAGAAAUUCUCGGCUCUAAAGGGGAUCCUAUUUGUCUCUACGUUUAUCAGAUCGGUAGGAUCUAGGUUUCCCAAUGGACCGAGGCACUAGAAGUGAGGUUGAUCGGUAGGAAUCACAAUCUUAUCAGCCAAUUCCUAAAGGGUUUAAAGGUUGAAAGAAUAGGAAAGAAACAAAGAAAAAAAAAACAUACUCAGUGAAUAGGUUCGCAAAGAAAUAGGAGUACAACAAGAGUACGGUGAAAGGAGGAGAGGGGGUGUUGAGUUGACCUCAGGAACGACAAAGUUGAUGGCCAUUUCUUCCCGAGAAGAGGAAAGAAUCGAAGGCUUGGAGGAUUGUUGGAGAAGGUCCUUGCCGGAGUGCUUGAAGUCCCCGAACGAUGCCGCCGCUAGAAAGGUGGGUUUGAGGUUGUAGAAUGACAGGAUGGAAGAAGAGUACCAGAGAAGGAAGUAUUUAUAGGACAAAAAGGGUAGGGGCAAAUCUGACUUAUCUCUUUGCCGCAUCCGUGAAAUCCGAGGGUGUUCAGGUGGAUAUGAUAACUGUUCGCACGGUAAUCAAGGGAUUGCACAGGUGAUUUGACAGUAAGCGGUCAUAAUUUUGAAGAUAUCUUACUAUGCAAGAUCUCUUGGUCGGUUCAUCGGCAGUCUCGUCUAAACGGAAAUGUUGCCGGUGAACGUGUUCUGGAGAGAUUCGGUUUGAGGGGUUGAGAAAUUCGAGGAGCAUGCAGGAGAAUCGGGCGGAGGUUGUUCAGAUUUGGUGAUUAAUUACCAAUCGGAGGGAGUAAUUGCGGAAAGGCAUCAUUACUGAGGAGAAUUUUGAAGCAUUAAUGAUUUUGUGCUCCGAAAUUGGGGGGCAUGUGUUGACACCAUUUUUGGACACGUAUCUUUGAUGCGCACCUGGAGUUAAUGAG
rnacentral:lncRNA from 1 species